rnacentral:rRNA from 1 species
GACGAACGCUGGCGGCGCGCCUAACACAUGCAAGUCGAACGGUGAACGGGGCUUCGGCCCCGGGAUCAGUGGCGAACGGGUGCGUAACACGUGGGCAACCUGCCCCAGACCCUGGGAUAACCCCGGGAAACCGGAGCUAAUACCGGAUACUCCGGCCGAACCGCAUGGCUCGGCCCGGAAAGGUCCGCCGGUCUGGGAUGGGCCCGCGGCCUAUCAGCUCGUGGGCGGGGUAAUGGCCCACCAAGGCGACGACGGGUAGCUGGUCUGAGAGGACGACCAGCCACACUGGGACUGAGAUACGGCCCAGACUCCUACGGGAGGCAGCAGUGGGGAAUCUUGCACAAUGGGCGAAAGCCUGAUGCAGCGACGCCGCGUGAGGGAUGAAGGCCCUCGGGUUGUAAACCUCUUUCGGCAGGGACGAAGCGAUCGUGACGGUACCUGCAGAAGAAGCCUCGGCUAACUACGUGCCAGCAGCCGCCGUAAAAC